UUUUUAAGUUAAGCAAUUAUUUUAUUUUCUUGGCCUGAUGGCAUUGACUUCAUUAUACAAGAACUUGCAGCUGACAGAACUAACACACAGAUAUCCCCCAAGAGGAAGGACCCUUUUCAUUAGCAGAGAUGAAUUGAAAUGUCAUGUCUGAGUGCAAUUCCUGCUCCCCACUCCCACCCCACAAAAUCCCAAAAGUGAAAACAAAUCAAUAAAAUCCCCAAGAUUUACUAAAAGUCAUCCCUCCAAACCUAACUAGCAGCUGCAGUGGAUGAUAACCAAGGAAAGCAGCAGCUGGCCAUCACAUAGCAUUCCUGUGCUACUGAAUGGGCAGCAGCAUGGGAGCAAGAAUCCCGAAUGAGUGACAGGUGUAGAUAAUCUACCUUACUUCAUACCUGCCCCUUCCCUUCAUAAGACAUCUCUGUCCUGAUACAUGGAAAAUACUACAGGAGGUGCGAGGAGUGGUUUUAGUCUACAAUAGGAAAUGCCUGAGGCUUAUUAAAUUCCAAGGUAGGGGUGAGAUAAGGGGCAUCAGAGUGAAAGAAAAGGU